rnacentral:rRNA from 1 species
AAACGACUCUCGGCAACGGAUAUCUCGGCUCUCGCAUCGAUGAAGAACGUAGCGAAAUGCGAUACUUGGUGUGAAUUGCAGAAUCCCGUGAAUCAUCGAGUCUUUGAACGCAAGUUGCGCCCGAAGCCUUUCGGCUGAGGGCACGUCUGCCUGGGUGUCACGC